rnacentral:lncRNA from 1 species
AUGCCAAAAGGAAAGAAGGCCAAGGGGAAGAAGGUGGCCCUGGCCCCUGUUGUUGCAGAGAAGCAGGAGGCCAAGAAAGUGAUGGAUCCCCUGUUUGAGAAAAGACCUGAGAAUUUUGGCAUUGGAUAGGACAUCUAGCCCAAAUGGGAUCUUAACCCACUUUGUCAAAUGCCCCUGCUACUACAUCAGGUUGCAGCAGCAAAGAGCUGUCCUCUAUCCAGAGCUGAAAGUGCCUCUUGCGAUGAACCAGUUCACCCCGGCCGUGGACCGCCAAGCAGCUACUCAGCUGCUUAAGCUGGCCCAUAAGUACUGACCAGAGACAAAGCAAGAGAAGAAGCAGAGACUUGGCCUGGGCUGAGAAGAAAGCUGCCAGCAAAGGGAACAUCCCCAUUAAGAGACCACCUGUCCUUCGAGUAGGGGUUAACAUUGUCACCACCUUUGGAGAACAAGAAGGCUCAGCUGGUGGUGAUCGCACAUGACAUGGAUCCCAUUGAGCCAGUUGUCUUCCUGCUUGCCUUAUGUCCUAAAAUGGGGGUCCUUGACUGCAUUAUCAAGGGGAAGGCAAGCCUGGGAUGUCUGUGCAUAGGAAGACCCUGCACCACUGUUGCCUUCACACAGGUUAACUUGGAAGACAAAGGAGCUUCGGUUAGCUGGUGGAAACUAUCAGGACCAAUUACAAUGAUAGAUAUGAUGAGAUCCGCCAUCACUGGGGAGGCAGUGUCCUGGGUUCCAAGUCUGUGGCUUGCUUUGCCAAGCUGGAAAGGGCAAACGCUAAAGGACUUGCCACUAAACUGGGUUAA